AGCAAAACUAGCUAGCAUCACAUAACCGUAGCAGUUUCGUUAAUUCAAGUUUUGUUUAGAGCUGUAGAUGUAAAGUUAAUGAAAGAAAGGAGGAUGUACCUUUUAUUCAAAUGAUGAGCAGCUUUUGCAGGACAUUCUGCAGAUCAUUUUACGGAGCUCCAUAUCACCAUCAUCGUUGAGGUCUUCUUGUCCAGCUCUCCCCCUCCCCCGGACCUGAUUGCCUUUGUUCCACAGUGAGGAUCCAUCCAUCCCUCUUGGGUGAUAUAUGCCAGUAAACGACCACACGAAAGUCAUGAAGCUCACAAUGACGCUCCUAUUGAGGACAGCAAUUCUGGCAUUGUAGUCGGAGGCUAACCAACAAGGAAAAGAAGUUUCAGCUACACAAAAAACUCAGGAACAACAUGGGUUAGUUAUUAAUCUAGAGUAAUGAGCACACAAUCUGCAAGAUAACAUGUUUCCAUGUUGAUCAGUGGUGGAUGGUGCAAGACAUGUUCACACACCGAUACAGUAUGAUACAUAGACAUUUCUCACUGUCUUCAUCUUCAGCUGUUCCAUAGAGUGACUUCUCAUGAAGAAUCCUCCACCAUAAAAAGGCAGCAGGGUGGAUUACAGUGCAGUAUAUUGUGCCCUAUGACCUAGUGCACACACAUGUAAUGCAGUCACAUGCAGCCACAUGCUACAGUGGGAGGAAAUGCUCGCAACCCAGAGAGUGGUGGGGGAUGGGAACACAAUGGGGGUUAGUGGGCUUAUACGGCAACGGGAUUGAGAGUAAGCCAAGCAUGAUGCCCCCUCACAUGGGGAAAUAACAUAGCCUGUGUGUGUGGGUGUGGGUGUGUGGGGUGUGUUUGUGUGAUGAACUCUACAUCUACUGGCUUGAUAAGGAGGUGGAGAUGAAGGUCUGACAGGCAGCUUUUUGGUUUCCUGCAUGAUUAUUCCACCUCACCUCCCUCCCUACACUCAGCCCAGCAUCAUCCUCUCUUUCUCUGUGUGGGGCUGUU